rnacentral:rRNA from 1 species
GACGAACGCUGGCGGCGUGCUUAACACAUGCAAGUCGAACGGAAAGGCCCUGCUUUUGUGGGGUGCUCGAGUGGCGAACGGGUGAGUAACACGUGAGUAACCUGCCCUUGACUUUGGGAUAACUUCAGGAAACUGGGGCUAAUACCGGAUAGGAGCUCCUGCUUCAUGGUGGUGGUUGGAAAGUUUCGGCGGUUGGGGAUGGACUCGCGGCUUAUCAGCUUGUUGGUGGGGUAGUGGCUUACCAAGGCUUUGACGGGUAGCCGGCCUGAGAGGGUGACCGGCAACAUUGGGACUGAGAUACGGCCCAGACUCCUACGGGAGGCAGCAGUGGGGAAUAUUGCACAAUGGGCGGAAGCCUGAUGCAGCAACGCCGCGUGCGGGAUGACGGCCUUCGGGUUGUAAACCGCUUUCGCCUGUGACGAAGCGUGAGUGACGGUAAUGGGUAAAGAAGCACCGGCUAACUACGUG